rnacentral:rRNA from 1 species
GAGAGGAAGGUCCCCCACAUAGGAACUGAGACACGGUCCUAACUCCUACGGGAGGCAGCAGUGAGGAAUAUUGGUCAAUGGGCGCUAGCCUGAACCAGCCAAGUAGCGA